rnacentral:ncRNA from 1 species
AUAAUGAUACUUCCGCCUUGAACGCGUCACAGCAUUGGGCGGCUCGGAGAGAUCCUCGGAGGGGUGAAAUUCCCAUG